rnacentral:rRNA from 1 species
UACGGAGGGUGCAAGCGUUGUUCGGAAUCAUUGGGCGUAAAGCGCGUGUAGGCGGCUUGGCAAGUUAGUUGUGAAAGCCCGGGGCCCAACCCCGGAACUGCAUCUGAAACUGCCUGGCUAGAGUCCCGGAGAGGAAGGCAGAAUUCCCGGUGUAGGGGUGAAAUCCGUAGAUAUCGGGAGGAAUACCAGCGGCGAAGGCGGCCUUCUGGACGGUGACUGACGCUGAGACGCGAAAGCGUGGGGAGCAAACAGG